CAUUCUGCCUCUCAGAGAGGGACGAGAACCUUCGAUUAAGGUUCGACCCGAGCGAUAGCGAGAGCGUGUUGCCGCAGGCAACGACCCGAAGGGCGAGGAACGCCGUGGCGAAGAAUCCUUCACGCCAGCCACCA
rnacentral:sRNA from 1 species